rnacentral:rRNA from 1 species
UGACAAGAAAUAACAAUACAGGACUUUUUGGUUUUGUAAUUGGAAUGAGUUAAGUAUAAACCCCUUUACAAGUAUCAAUUGGAGGGCAAGUCUGGUGCCAGCAGCCGCGGUAAUUCCAGCUCCAAUAGCGUAUAUUAAAGUUGUUGCAGUUAAAAAGCUCGUAGUUGGAUUUCUGUUAAUAAUUUAUAUAAAAUAUUUUGAUGAAUAUUUAUAUAAUAUUAACAUAAUUCAUAUUACUAUUUUUUUUAGUAUAUGAAAUUUUACUUUGAGAAAAUUAGAGUGCUUAAAGCAGGCAUAUGCCUUGAAUACUCCAGCAUGGAAUAAUAUUAAAGAUUUUUAUCUUUCCUAUUGGUUCUAAGAUAAGAAUAAUGAUUAAUAGGGACAGUUGGGGGCAUUUGUAUUUAACAGUCAGAGGUGAAAUUCUUAGAUUUGUUAAAGACAGACUAAUG